rnacentral:rRNA from 1 species
AUUGAACGCUGGCGGAAUGCUUUACACAUGCAAGUCGAACGGCAGCACGGGGCAACCUGGUGGCGAGUGGCGAACGGGUGAGUAAUACAUCGGAACGUGCCCAAUCGUGGGGGAUAACGUAGCGAAAGUUACGCUAAUACCGCAUACGAUCUACGGAUGAAAGCGGGGGAUCGCAAGACCUCGCGCGAAUGGAGCGGCCGGUGUCAGAUUAGGUAGUUGGUGGGGUAAAGGCUCACCAAGCCAACGAUCUGUAGCUGGUCUGAGAGGACGACCAGCCACACUGGGACUGAGACCCGGCCCAGACUCCUACGGGAGGCAGCAGCGGGGAAUUUUGGACAAUGGGCGCAAGCCUGAUCCAGCCAUUCCGCGUGCAGGAUGAAGGCCUUCGGGUUGUAAACUGCUUUUGUACGGAACGAAACGGUUCUCUCUAAUACAGGGGGCUAAUGACGGUACCGUAAGAAUAAGCACCGGCUAACUACGUGCCAGCAGCCGCCGUAAAAC